CUUGUCCCAGCAGCGUUAUCAAAAAUCGACCCGGCACAGCAGAAAGAACUUUAAUCCAUGCGCCCAGACACGUGCCAGCAGCUCCCAACACCAUCGUUACUUUAAGACCCUAAAAUAUAAUUAUAACUUACAAGCAAAUAUUUCUACUAAAUACAAUAUCGGGUGUAAAAGGCAUAACAGCAAACGCCUAAGUAAAAUUUGAACUGAUUGUAUAACAUAUUUUAAUGUACUUAUAAUUUAAUAUAAGAUAAUAUGAAUCUAAAUUCCAAUGUAGAGAUUGUUAAAGAUAAUUCAUUAUUACAUAGGGAUUGGUGUACUUUUAUAUCCAUAGGAUUAUUUAAAUAAUAAAAUUACGUUAAUGUA